rnacentral:sRNA from 1 species
GCUGGGUGCAGUGGCCCACACCUGUAAUCCCAGAGGCUCCAGAGGCUGAGGCAGGAGGAUCUUGAGUUCAAAGCCAGCCUCGGGAAUUUAGCAAGGCCCUAAGCAACUCAGUGAGACCCUGUCUCUA